ACUACUAUAGUACUACGCUGAAGUCAGAGUUCUGUGUUUUCUCCUCCGUGGCUCCGUCGCAUGAAGUUUACACUUCACUUCAAGAGGCGCAAAAAUACGGAGGGACAUCACCAAUUCUACUCUUUAUCCACCACCACCACCUCCUCCUCCUCUGCCUCCCAAACCCCAAUGUGUAGUAGUCCCUCUCACCUUCAACAGCCCCACCAAGAAGAAAAUCAAGCCAAUGAAUCUCCCCAAACCCUAGAGCCCAUAAACCCCAUCAAUCAACCCGAACCGGAUCAAGAGAACCCACAUCAGGAAAAAUCCAAUCUUGAUCGCCUGCAACAGCAAAACGACCCGGAACAGGAAGAAGAGGAGGAAGAUCAGGAGGACCAAGAAAACCCAGGUAUAAUUCUGUCUGCUUUUCCUCCUCCCCCUUCUUCCAUUGAUGUUGUUGUGGCUGACGUCAGGAUGCCGUCACUGAACCCUCCAAAAAGGCUUAAUAAAAGGAAGAAGGGUAAAGGGAGUCUUAAGAAACAGCUGACCAUUCAGAAGAAAUUGCAUACCCUUUUGGAGAAUUUGAACCCUGUUCCUUUUAUACCCUCUAAGAUUCUUGAUUUUACGAAGCAUGAGAAGUUGCUCAAGAGACUGGGGUUGUGGGAUUUUUUCCAUAUUGAAUUUGAUAGGAAUAUAAGGUCUGACUUGAUUGCUCAGUUGAUUGCUACCUAUGAUCCUAAACUAAGGUGUAGUUAUGUUAAUGAGUUUAGGAUUGCCGUUAAUCGGGCAGACUUAGCGAGGGCGUUUAAGUUGCCUGUUAAGAAAGAGAAAAGUGGGAACUUGGUGGCUGCUGAGGGGGUGGACUUGGAUUUCGAGGCAUUGUCCGAGGAAUCCAUUAGCUUCAUUGAGGGUUUUGUUUCUAAUUGGGUGCUUUUGCACGAGGAUACUUGGAUGAUGCCGAAUGAGGUGUUGAAUUGGACCAAGGCAAUCAAAGACGGCCAUCCUGAAAAGGUGGAUUGGGCAGGGCUGUUUUGGUUCAUGGUUGAGAAGGAGUUGUUGAAAGGGGAACAGUUGGUUGAUUGCUAUUAUGCGUCGCAUUUGCAGUAUUUGAUCAAGUCGCAGCGGGAGGAGGUGAUGGUGAGGGAGCCAAGGGAGGGGCAGGAUAUGGUGGACUUGGAUGCGGAGGAGGAGGAGGAGGUGUUAGUGAGGGAGGAGCAGGAUAAAGUGGAAUUGGAUGGGAAGGAGGACGUGGUAGCAAAGGAGCAGGAUAGAGUGGAGUUGGACGUGGAGAAGGUGGUUUUGAUGGCAGAGCAGGACAUGGUGGAGUUGAAUCCUGGGGUAAAAGAGGAAGGGGAUGGUGGUAAUGACGUUGGUGAUAUGACAAAGGGUGGUUUGAGUAUAGUUCCGGAACAGGAAAAUGAUGUAUUGGUAGGGCCGAAUAUUGAGUUGACUCUUGGGCAAGAUGGUGGUGAAAAGGAAGACGUGAAAGUUGCUGACGUGAUGGAUGUUGAGGAGCGCAGGGAGGAUGAGGAGCAGCAGGAGAAGGAGCAGGAGCACAGACAGUGGCUUUUGCAUGGAAGAAACAAUGUAGGUGAGCAUUUCAUGCAACCUUGUAAUAUGGAAGAUGCCAGUGGAUUUGAUAGUCUUGAGGAGAGGCAAGAGGAAGGGGAUGAGCUGGAGGGGGAGAGGGAGGAGGAGGAGGAGGAUGGAGAAGAAGAGGAAGAGGAUGGAUUUGAUGUUGGACCACAUGAUGAUACUCUUGAAGGGGAUGGACUAACGGGCAAUUUUCUUCAAGCUUUGGAGACAACACAGAUUACAUAUGGUUCACAAGGACAUCUUCAUGAUGAUUCUUCAGUUGAUCUUGUUGCUGAUAGGAAUGACUUGCAGCAUAUGGCUGCAGGUGGCCCAUCAUUCUAUGGUAACACAGGUAAGAGAGAGCUUGACCAUGAGCAUGAUGUCUCUCAUCAUCCUCUUAAUGGUAGCAAUAAGAGAUUAAGGAUUGACGGUCCAUGGGAUAACAAACCAUUGGAUUUUGGGACCUGCAUGGACCAAAUGCAACAACUUAUGGGCCGCGCUAGGCUGAUGUACCAGGAGAAGGUGCAGGCUCAGGAACAAGCAAGCUUUAAUCAGCAGGUAUUACUUAAUGAGGUGCAGAAAAGGGACAGUAUGAUCGAGCAUUUGCAUAAGAGCAAGUGUGAAGAAAUACAGAAAAGAGAUGCAGAGAUCUUUCGUCUACAACGUGAGCUGUAUCUAAUGGGAAAUAUUUUGGAAGACUACAGAAAGGCCUUAAAGCAAACCAACAAAGCAUUUGCUGAAUAUAGGCAGAAAUGUCAGCUUCCUGAAGAAUCAAUCUACAAAGAUGCUGGUCCGGGAGGGGUUGUAUUGACCACUGCAGAAAUAGAGAAGCAACGUCUGAAAGAAGAAGAAGAAUAUAGAUUGGCUUGCUUAAUUUUGGAGCAGAAGGCUAAGGCAGCUGAGGAAGGAUAUGCAUUCCAAUUUGGGGAAUACCUAAACAAGGUUGUUUGGCUGGAUAAGAGGUUGGCAGACCUUGAGAAGGGUGUGGAAGAGCUUAGAGAUUAUCAUUCAAAGGCCAAGGUUUCAGAAACUGAACAGAAAGCUGGUGAAAAUUCAGAAUUUGAAACUGAACAGAAGGUCGUUGUAACUUCAGCAUUUGAAACUGACCAGAAAAUUGUGGAAGUUUCAGAAUGCGAUGUAGAGAAAGUUGUGGAAACUUCAGAAACUGAAACUGAAGAGAAAGUUGUGGAAAAUUUGCAAAUUGAAACUGAAGAGAAAGUUGUGGAAACUUCAGAAAUGGAAACCGAAGAGAAAGCUGUGGAAACUUCAGAAAUGGAAACCGAAGCAGAAAUGGAAACCGAAGAGAAAGCUGUGGAAACUUCAGAAAUGGAAACUGAAGAGAAAGUUGUGAAAACUUCAGAAUGUCCUCCAAGUGGAUGAAGUGCUGUCCCAAUAUAUUUACUUUUGUUUGGCUGAAGUGAAGCAUGCAAAUUUGCCAUCAAGCACUCAUCAUCAAGUAUUCAUUUGGAGAGUGGAUUAUUUCUUUGGCCUAUGACGCUAUUGUUUAGUUUAUGGCAAUUUUCUCUAUCUGAGCAAAUAGUGGCACAUUUAACCAUGAAUCAACUCAUGAGAAUGUUGGACUUCACUAUGAAGAAACUAAUUGCUGGUGGAGUUUCCAGGGUUUCUGCUCAAAGGAUUUGACUGUUUUGAAAUAUAUUUGUUUGCACUUAUCGUAAUCGUAUCCGCCAACUCUAGCCCCGUGCUGGCGACAUAUCUGGAUCCUGAUUCAUAUGAACUUGAGUUAUGACUUAUCAUGAAUCUGUGCAUAGUUGACUAAAUGUUUGCUUACUUGGUAUGUGGCCUCUUCAGACUGUAUAUCAGAUAUAGGAUGAGAGUUGUAAAACUUGCUUAUUCCUAGUUCAAAUGUAGUUUAGAUUUGUCCGGAUGGAGUUCACACAAAUGAAGCUGCUCCUGUUUUUGCUGUGUUC